GAGACUCUGUGCGCGUGCAUAUCAAUAAGCGGAGGAAAAGAAACUAACAAGGAUUCCCUUAGUAACGGCGAGUGAAGCGGGAAGAGCUCAAAUUUGAAAUCUUAAAGGGUUUCCCUUUACGAAUUGUAGUUUAAAGAAGUGUUUUCUGUUGGAGUUUCGGUAAAAGUUCUUUGGAAUAGGACAUCAUAGAGGGUGAGAAUCCCGUAUUUGACCGUUACUUUCCAGCAGUGUGAUACACUUUCAAAGAGUCGGAUUGUUUGGGAAUGCAGUCCAAGAUGGGUGGUAAAUUUCAUCUAAAGCUAAAUAUUGGCGAGAGACCGAUAGCGAACAAGUACCGUGAGGGAAAGAUGAAAAGAACUUUGAAAAGAGAGUUAAACAGUACGUGAAAUUGUCAAAAGGGAAGCGUUUGACACCAGUGUUGUUUAGUUGAAAAUCAAUUCAAUAGUUUUUGAUUCUAAGUAGUAUUGACUUCAUCAGCUUGCUGCUUUCUUCUCAGAAAUUAUUGAAUGCACUUUUCAGUUAACAAGUCAACAUCAAUUUCUUUUGUUGUAAAAGGGUAAUGAGGAAGGUGGCUUGCGCUUUCGGAUAAAGUGUUUAUAGCCUUUUAUCCUCUGCAAUCGGAGAGAUUGAGGUCUGCAGCGUAGAUCCUUCGGGGUUAGAUACAUUGGUGCUAAGCUAUAGCCUUGUAUAGACAACUUGUUGACUAUGCUCAGUCAUGUAGCUUACUCGCUGAUGCUAUUUUACCUACGCUUAGGAUGUUGACAGCAGUAUAGACUGU
rnacentral:rRNA from 1 species